CCUACGGGUGGCAGCAGUGAGGAAUAUUGGUCAAUGGCCGGAAGGCUGAACCAGCCAAGCCGCGUGAAGGACGAAGGUGCCAAGCAUUGUAAACUUCUUUUGUCAAGGGACAAAAUCAGGCUCGAGAGCCUGACCGAGGGUACUUGAAGAAAAAGCAUCGGAUAAACCCGUGCCAGCAGCCGCGGUAAUACGGAGGAUGCGAGCGUUAUCCGGAUUUAUUGGGUUUAAAGGGUGCGUAGGCGGACUGUUAAGUCAGCGGUAAAAGCCCGGGGCUCAACCCCGGCGAGCCGUUGAAACUGGCUAUCUUGAGAUGUCGAGAGGGAUGCGGAAUGCGCGGUGUAGCGGUGAAAUGCUUAGAUAUUGCGCAGAACUCCGAUUGCGAAGGCAGCAUACCGGCGGCGAUCUGACGCUGAGGUGCGAAAGCGUGGGUAGCGAACAGGAUUAGAUACCCCUGUAGUC
rnacentral:rRNA from 1 species